rnacentral:rRNA from 1 species
UACGUAGGGGGCGAGCGUUGUCCGGAUUUAUUGGGCGUAAAACGCUUGUAGGUGGCCACGUCAAGUCGGAUGUGAAAUCUCCCGGCUCAACUGGGAGGGGUCAUUCGAUACUGGCGGGCUCGAGGUCGGUAGGGGGAAGCGGAAUUCCGGGUGUAGUGGUGGAAUGCGUAGAUAUCCGGAGGAACACCAGAGGCGAAGGCGGCUUCCUGGACCGAUUCGUGAC